GGAGGGGACCAUCGGAAACUAGGAGGACGUAGAGUACCAGUAGAGGAGAGUGGAAUUCGACGGGAGCGGUGAAACGAGUAGAGAUGUGCAGGUACACCAGUCGCGAAGGCGACUCUCUGGUCUGUAACUGACGCUGAGGUGCGAAAGCGUGGGUAGCGAUCAGGAUUAGAUACCCUGGUAGUACACGCACUAAACGAUGAGUGCUAGGUGUUAGGGGGUUUCCGCCCUUUAGUGUUGAAGUUAACUCAUUAAGCACUCCGCGUGGGGAGUACUGCGGCAAGGCUGAAACUCAAAAGAAUUGACGGGGACCCGCACAAGCGGUGGAGCAUGUGGUUUAAUUAGAAGCAACGCGAAGAACCUUACCAGGUCUUGACAUCUUUUGACACCCCCAGAGAUAGGGCAUUCCUUUUGGGGACAGAGUGACUGGUGGUGCAUGGUUGUCGUCAGCUAUUGUAAUGAGAUGUUGGGUUAAGUCCCGCAACGAGCGCAACCCUUGAUCUUAGUUGCCAGCAUUUAGUUGGGCACUCUAAGGUGACUGCCGGUGACAAACCGGAGGAAGGUGGGGAUGACGUCAAAUCAUCAUGCCCCUUAUGACCUGGGCUACACACCUGUUACAAUGGAUGGAACAAAGGGCAGCGAAGCCGCGAGGCCAAGCAAAUCCCAUAAAACCAUUUUCAGUUUGGAUUGCAGGCUGCAAUUUGCAUGCAUGAAGCCGGAAUCGUUUAGUAAUCGUGGAUCAGCAUGCCGCGGUGAAUACGUUCCCGGGUCUUGUACACACCGCCCGUCACACCACGAGAUUUGGUAACACCGGAAGUCGGUGGGGUAACCUUUCCAGCCAGCCGCACGAAGGCGG
rnacentral:rRNA from 1 species